AUUUAAAACAAACUGGAGAUAAAGUUUUUAUUUCACAAAAACAACAUUUUAGCAAUCAACAUUUACAGACAUUCUUUGUCGUCAUUCUCCUCAUUUCUUAUAAACACCUCCAUCUCCCCUGCCCCCCAUACAGAAUGUAUUGUUAUACAUUUUGCAAUUUGGUUUCUACUUUGUAAUGAGAAACCUGCUUGUUUUGAAAAUCUAUAAAUAUUAGCUUUCAAAAUAUAUUAGAGAUCUUUUCUUCUGUAUAUACCCAUUCUCAGCAGCAUUCCAGUGUAAGCAAUAAGCACCAAAAGAUUAAAAAUUUUUUUUUUUUUUUUUUUUUUUUAAGACAGUCUUUCACGGUUUCAGUUUUACCCAUACUCCAUCUAAAUAACAAGUUUCAUUUUAAACUACGCAUUACUUUAUUCUGCAUAACCAGUCAUAAAAUGCCCCUUGGGAAAGAUUAUAUUAAGAUAUUCAACAUUUUCAAAUGACAGUUAUCCUUUAAUCUCUAUGUACCAUCUCUUAAUAGGACUUUUGGAGAAUGAGCAUUAGCCGUCAUAAGAGACAGUUUGACCCAAAGUGCAUAAAAUGGCUGUCAGGGCAAGUGUAAAAGUAGCAAAGUGAUAUUUAAAAAAAAUUAAAAAUAUAAAAAUUAAAAUAUCUCCCAAAACACAAAUUAAGUACAUUAAUAAAAAGGUUGAUACAGUAUAUUAUACUACAAAGAUAUGAAAAUAUAGUUCAAUUAGUUAUCCUUUUAAGAUGUAAAACACUGAGCUGAAAUGCCCUAUAGAUAUGUGACUCAUUUGCUUUUUCACUUCUUAAAGAAUUCAAGGGAAAUAGAAAGAAGUUUAAAUCUACACACCGUAAAUUAUGCUUUUGGAAAUAACUAGAAUGCGGUAUUGAAAGUUAGGUUUGGCCAUACAUUGCAGUAGAAAACAAUUUGCUUUUUUAUUUUAUUCCCACUCUGCCAGUUAGUCAAAUUAUAAACCAAAGAACAAUUAUCUUCCUCAAUAUAAAAUUGUAACUAAUUGCAUAUAGUAGACAUACCAGUGUAUGGACAUGACAAUUUAUAUCUCCUCUACUGUACCAUAAAAAAGGUUUCAUUUCAGGAUUAGAAUUUUCCAAAGUUAAAUUAAUUUAUUUAAGGAAUUAUUAAAAGAAACAAAAUACCCUAUGUAAACUUAAAAGUAUACAGCAGUAUUAACAAACUAACAGAAUUAACAAGUGAACUUUGUGCACAUAGGGUAUAUUUUAAACAAUUUGACAGAAUAAUGAAUACAGAACACAGCACAGGAAACAAAGUUGUUAUUCGCUAUAUACUCACGUAGACAAUUAGCAAUUGCAGAGAUUUAUAGGGUUUCUAUUUCUGUUUGCGUAUUGCUAUCAUGUGCCUAACAGAAUAAUACCUGAAAUUACAACUGAGGGAUUUUCUCCAAAUUGUAGUCGGGAAGCAGAAGAAUUCACUGUCUGCUUAUAAGAGGAAAAAAAAAAAAAUCCCUGAAACCUGAAAAGUGGUAGAAUAUACAUCUGGAAUGUACAUGUGGAAUGCAGACAUUUACAAAUUUAAGUUGUCUCAAAUUUUCCAAGGGACGGAUUCAUCUCCCUGAUGUCUGACAGUUUUCAAAAUUCAUUAUAUAUUGUUUUAUGCGGUGUCGUGUUUUGUUUUCCUUGAAUUUCACAUUUUUAUCUGACUGAUGUCACAACAGCAGUCAAGUUAGGUUGAAAAGCAAUUGGUCAAGUAACAAGAGACCAAACCUAGCUGCUAAACCAGAUUUAAAAUAAGGACUCUCUCAAAAAUAUCAAUAUACAGCACUAAAAAAAAAAAAAAAAAGUAAAGAGAGACUGCUGCUCUUUAAGUAGAUCCCAUCUAUAUAGUGGAUGGAAGGAGCCCUGGACUCCUAAUAGUUUUAGUUCUUAACCUACUGUAUAUGGGUGAUGAGGUUGGGCUGGACAAUAUUAGUAGAUCUGCUGAACACCGCCCCCAACAAACAUACUGUUACAAAUGGUCUAACCAUGGGUGAAAAUGUGAGCAGCUGCUGCUACUUCCAUUAAGAAUAUUAACCAUCAUACGUAUGUCUACAGUUAGAGGAAACUCCCACCCACCUCUUUUUAAGCUUUGUAUCUGCUAGCUGUUUGCAUAGCUAAAAGGGACAUUUUUACUUAUUUGGUUAAUUAUCUCCUGAGCUAUUGAGGGCUAUUUUGGGAGCAUUUGAAACAAUUUGAUGCAAAUAAAUUCAGAAGUUAGUUUACAUAGUUCACAGGCAAGUAAAUGUCACCUCAUCCCCCCCCCCUCUACAAAUACUAAAUAAAUAAUUGUAUUUUUAUAGUGGCAAAUGAGAGGAUGUUUCAAACAGUACAAUUUUUUUUUUAUCGUUACAUAGCAACACAAUAGCUAAAACAAAGUGUCCACAUUUCUGCCCACCUAAAGGGACACUAUAGUUACCCAGACCACUUCAUCUGAAUCUCUGGAUACAGUAACCCUCCCUUUUUUUACCCUGCAAUGUAAAACAUUGCCUUUAAUUUUAUUUUUUAUACGGCGGUGUUUACAUUGCAGGGUUAAGUACACCUCUUGCAGCUGUCAAUACGACCGUCACUAGAGGUGAUUCCACAGUGACAGGCUGACAGUAAAAAACUGUCACACAACGCAGAAGCCCUCAUAGAAGAGCAAUGACUAGAUGCUUUCCUAUGGGGAAGCCGCAAAUGUGCAUUAAAUCCCCAAUGCUCCUCUAGGAGGAGCUUAGGAGCCUUAAAUUUAACAGUCGUGAGAGACGGAGAGCUAAGCUGCACCGAGGGAGCCUUGGUGCUGAUGAAAUGCAAUAAACUGUUUUACACUUUUACUGCACAGGCCUUAACCGACACGUAAAGCUAGUGUGUUGUGAUGUAACAAAAGUCAUGUGAGUGCGAUCUCAUUUGCAAUUGUGUGUGGGCUACAGAACACAGAGGCAGAGAAACAAAAGGUGAGAUACUUGAGUGUUGGGCUUUGGCAAAUUAGAGAGAAUAUAAAUAUAUAUAUAUUCUAUCUAUAUCUCAAAAGUCAGAGGUUAGCAGUAAUAACUCCAGGUGUACCUGUUUUUCUUGAAGGCUAUAUUAGGAUUUGAUGCUUACAUUCAAAUUCUGAGUAUGUUUCUUUAAACUUCACUAUAGAACCAGAGAUUGUGUAAUAGACAUGCUAUUGUAAACAUACAAAUCCCCCUAGAGUAGAAAAAGGUCAUGAGGUCAACUUCAUAACCAACAUAAGUCCAGAACAGAUCCAGCUUUAUUUAGAUGGAAAAGCUCCUGCUAAAUAAUUCAUUAAGGGUUUCAAAAUAUGACCAACCAUAGCAAAUGUACAUUGAGGAGAUGAUUAGUAAUUUAAACACGUGUGUGUAUAUUUACAUACACAAACACACCUGUAUUUAAUUUUUUUUUUUUUUAAUUUCUUGAGCAAUGUUAGAGUUGUGUUCAAGGUACAAGUAGAGAAUCAGGAUUUUUCACUAGUCCAAGUUAAAUAUAAGAUUCAAGCUUCUAGAUUUUGCCAUUAUUUCUCAAUAAAAUUAACAAACUUGCUAUAUAUUAAAUAAGUGUAGACAUAUUUCACUAUGUUUAGUAACAAAGCACUCCACCUAAAAUCAGACCAGAUAAUAUACUGUACCAAAAUAGCCAUUCAAUGCUUACUUAAUUCUCAAUAUGCCAAUUUCUAGACUGCUCAGUGUCAUCCUACAGUACCAAACAACUAAAUAUCAAGCAUGUGACCGUCUGUGGAUCCAGAACAAACACAAACAGCGGUCCACAUUGCUUGUUCAAGUAAAAUGUUUAGCACUCUACAAAAAUAGAGAUAUAAAAAGCUGCCUUAAGGUUUUUGUGCACUCGCAUUGAAAAGCUCAGGUAAAAUACAAAGUAUAUUGCUUAAAGAUUAUGAGCUUUUCAAUUAAGAAGAAAAAAUAUUUUAUAUAUUGUAUAGGUGUGUUACAUGGAGUGUCUGUAACAAUGUUCAUUUAGCAUGAAUAAACAAAAUCAUGCUGUCAUGUAGACAUUAAAUGUGCGAAGACCAGAACAUACAUUUUGAGCUUUCUGUAGAUAUACGAGUGAGAAUGUUGCACAUAUUCUGUGCUGAAGAAAAUGAUCACUGUGUUCACCAAACAUGAAAAUAAUUUAAUUCUGGGUCCACACAAUAUGUACAAAAAUAGACAACUAUGGAAUAAAAUUUUGGUUCCAAAAAUAUACACGACUUAACUGUGAGGCAUGCCCGGCAAUACAAACAGCUUGAUUUGAAAGAGCAGCAGUACACCCAAAAACUGAGUGCAUAGUGAAGAUACGUUCUUUCUCUACAUUGCUGGACCAUAUUAGAAUAGAUAUUUUCUAAACAUUCAGUAGAAAAUUUGAGAUUUUAAAGACACUCAAUGCACCCAUCAUCUUUGUCAGUUUGCCCCACGACUCAUGGUAAGAGAUUCACCAGUGAAUCAAAAGAAGUUCAUUUAGCUUAAUCAAGUCUUGAACACUUUCAAAUGGUAAAAAUUAUGUACUUUCUCCCUUCAGUUGUGAGAAGUAAUCAAAGCUGCAUUUGCUGGUGUUGUCAAGAGCAAAUUGAGUGGUAUUCUGCAGAUCCCUUUUCCAGUAAGUGACAAACUGGAAUGUCCCCAUACAACACAGGAUCAGUCAUGGGGUAAAGCAUCAGAAAGAAAAGUGCAACCCCAAGAAAAUAAAACAUAAGAAUGGUUGCACAACGGGGGUGGUCCAAUGCUGAGAAAAUAGCUGGAAAGCCAAUGUAGUUGCAAAAGGAAUGGCAUAGGACUGGGCCUAUCAGGUGCCCUAAAAAUAAAUAUAUGUAGUUAGAGUAAUUAAAAAACAAUUACAAAUGUGUUAAAUGGGAAGACAUUUUUCUACUUUAAAAUAAAAUGCAAGCCUGGAAACCUGGAAAAUUUACGGCAUGCAUACAGGUAGGCAACUCAAUCCACCCACAUGACGGAGAUGCAACAUGUAUGUUGGGUUACAGUUAUGCUUGGCAAUGAAAUUUCCCCUCUCCCCCUCAAGAAAAUAUUUUGGACCAUACAAUUGGUGGAAGGAUGUCAAGAAUGUGAUAGCCCCCCUGCCUUAAUCAGAGGAGGCACCGCAGGGGACUAAACUCCUACAAUUCCUGUGAGAGCAUUUCUGGAGAGCAGAGUUAACUG